UACAGAGGGUGCGAGCGUUAAUCGGAAUUACUGGGCGUAAAGCGUGCGCAGGCGGUUCGACAAGUCCGAUGUGAAAGCCCCGGGCUCAACCUGGGAAUGGCAUUGGAAACUGGCGAGCUUGAGUGUGGCAGAGGGGGGUGGAAUUCCGCGUGUAGCAGUGAAAUGCGUAGAGAUGCGGAGGAACACCGAUGGCGAAGGCAGCCCCCUGGGCUGACACUGACGCUCAGGCACGAAAGCGUGGGGAGCAAACAGG
rnacentral:rRNA from 1 species